UCCCUGGUGGUCCAGUGGUUAAGACUUCGCACUCCUAGUGCAGGAGGUCUCAGGUUCGAUCCCUGGUCAGGGAA